rnacentral:rRNA from 1 species
GUGUCAGCAGCCGCGGUAAUACGUAGGAGGCAAGCGUUAUCCGGAUUUACUGGGCGUAAAGCGGGUGUAGGUGGCCCUUCAAGUCGGAUGUUAAAUCUCCUGGCCUAACUAGGAGGGUGCAUUCGAUACUGUUGGGCUGGAGUGCAGUAGAGGAAAGCGGAAUUCCCGGUGUAGUGGUGAAAUGCGUAGAUAUCGGGAGGAACACCAGUGGCGAAGGCGGCUUUCUGGGCUGUUACUGACACUGAGGCCCGAAGGCGUGGGGAGCAAACAGGAUUAGAUACCCUGGUAGUCCACGCAGUAAACGAUGGACACUAGGUAUGGGGAGUAUCGACCCUCCCUGUGCCGAAGCUAACGCUUUAAGUGUCCCGCCUGGGGAGUACGGUCGCAAGACUAAAACUCAAAUGAAUUGACGGGG